ensembl:snRNA U6 U6 spliceosomal RNA
GCUGCUUCGGCAACACAUGUUUUAAAAAUUGGACUAAUACAGAGAAGAUCAGCAUGGCCCAUGCACUUGGUUUCUAAAGAACCUAGGUAAAUCCCUUACUGGU